GACGAACGCUGGCGGCGUGCCUAAUACAUGCAAGUCGAGCGAAGAGGCGGGUGGGUGAGUUACGCGUGGGUAACCUGCCCUUAAGUCUGGGAUAACAUUUGGAAACAGUUGCUAAUACCGGAUACUAAACGAUGGAGCUGCGAUUCAUUAGCUAGUUGGUAGGGUAACGGCUUACCAAGGCAAUGAUGAAUAGCCAACGUGAGGGACUGAUCGGGCACAUUGGGACUGAGACACGGCCCAAACUCCUACGGGAGGCAGCAGUAGGAAAUCUUCCACAAUGGACGAAAGUCUGAUGGAGCAACGCCGCGUGAGUGAAGAAGGUUUUCGGAUCGUAAAGCUCUGUUGUUGGUGAAGCGGUAAUCACCCAGAAAGUCACGGCUAACUACGUGCCAGCAGCCGCGGUAAUAC
rnacentral:rRNA from 1 species